CACCACCACCAUACGUCUACAGCU
rnacentral:siRNA from 1 species